rnacentral:rRNA from 1 species
GGUGAGUAACGCGUGAGAAUCUGGCUCCAGGUCGGGGAUAACAGUUGGAAACGACUGCUAAUACCGGAUGUGCCGAGAGGUGAAAGAUUUAUUGCCUGGAGAUGAGCUCGCGUCUGAUUAGCUAGUUGGUGGUGUAAGGGACCACCAAGGCGUCGAUCAGUAGCUGGUCUGAGAGGAUGAUCAGCCACACUGGGACUGAGACACGGCCCAGACUCCUACGGGAGGCAGCAGUGGGGAAUUUUCCGCAAUGGGCGAAAGCCUGACGGAGCAAUACCGCGUGAGGGAGGAAGGCUCUUGGGUCGUAAACCUCUUUUCUCAAGGAAGAAGAAAGUGACGGUACUUGAGGAAUAAGCAUCGGCUAACUCCGUGCCAGCAGCCGCGGUAAUACGGAGGAUGCAAGCGUUAUCCGGAAUGAUUGGGCGUAAAGGGUCUGCAGGUGGAACUGAAAGUCUGCUGUUAAAGAGUUUGGCUUAACCAAAUAAAAGCGGUGGAAACUACAGAACUAGAGUGCGGUAGGGGCAAAAGGAAUUCCUGGUGUAGCGGUGAAAUGCGUAGAUAUCAGGAAGAACACCGGUGGCGAAAGCGUUUUGCUAGACCGUAACUGACACUGAGGGACGAAAGCUAGGGGAGCGAAUGGGAUUAGAUACCCCAGUAGUCCUAGCCGUAAACGAUGGAUACUAGGCGUGGCUUGUAUCGACCCGAGCCGUGCCGGAGCUAACGCGUUAAGUAUCCCGCCUGGGGAGUACGCACGCAAGUGUGAAACUCAAAGGAAUUGACGGGGGCCCGCACAAGCGGUGGAGUAUGUGGUUUAAUUCGAUGCAACGCGAAGAACCUUACCAAGACUUGACAUCCUGCGAAUCCUGGUGAAAGCUGGGAGUGCCUUAGGGAGCGCAGAGACAGGUGGUGCAUGGCUGUCGUCAGCUCGUGUCGUGAGAUGUUGGGUUAAGUCCCGCAACGAGCGCAACCCUCGUUUUUAGUUGCCAGCAUUAAGUUGGGCACUCUAGAGAGACUGCCGGUGACAAACCGGAGGAAGGUGAGGAUGACGUCAAGUCAGCAUGCCCCUUACGUCUUGGGCUACACACGUACUACAAUGCUACGGACAGAGGGCAGCGAGCCAGGGAUGGCAAGCGAAUCCAGAAACCGUAGCUCAGUUCAGAUCGAAGGCUGCAACUCGCCUUCGUGAAGGAGGAAUCGCUAGUAAUUGCAGGUCAGCAUACUGCAGUGAAUUCGUUCCCGGGCCUUGUACACACCGCCCGUCACACCAUGGAAGUUGGUCACGCCCGAAGUCAUUACCCCAACCGAAAGGAGGGGGAUGCCUAAGGUAGGACUGGUGACUGGGGUGAAGUCGUAACAAGGUAAGCCGUA